rnacentral:rRNA from 1 species
CCUACGGGAGGCAGCAGUGAGGAAUAUUGGACAAUGGAGGCAACUCUGAUCCAGCCAUGCCGCGUGCAGGAAGACUGCCCUAUGGGUUGUAAACUGCUUUUAUACAGGAAGAAUAAUGAGUACGUGUACUCAGAUGACGGUACUGUAAGAAUAAGCAUCGGCUAACUCCGUGCCAGCAGCCGCGGUAAU